AAUGGGUUGAGCGAAUAUAUACACAAAUUAAUUAUAAGCUAUGAAAAGAUCUGUGGGCAAGGUGGCGACCACUCUAGUGUUUUACAUGAAAACUACACCUCUGUGCCUGGGAGAAUUUGAAUUAUGGUCCGAAAAGAUAAAUAUUAAUAAACACCAAAGCCAGUGAUGUGACUUUGCCUCCUCGCUUCAUAAGUUCACCACCCUGCUAAUACUAACAUAUAUUUUACAGAAGAAAGAAUGUUUACAUUUUCUCAACAUUUUGCAUAGUUUUAUCGAUGUGUUACUAGAAGCCAUAUUGUGACUACAAUCAUUGCCAAAGGAUUUAGCUUUAUAUCCCAUAAUAGUAUAAAUGUGUCUGCUAAUGUAUUUUUUAAUUUUUUUGGUAUCUUCUAUGCACUGAUGUGCUUAUUUAAAGUGACCAAACUAAUUUAUAAUAUAUGAAUGUCUAAUGAGAUGUGACAUUUUUGGAUUUAUACAUGGGUCAAGUACACACAAAAAGGUUUCAUUAUGAUAUUGAUUUUUCAUCCUCAAUUUGCAUGAAUGACUCAAUGGCGAUGUAAAACGUGAACAUUUUCUCCUCUCACAUGGCUUACAAAACUUGAAAUUUGUCGCUUCUCGACUAUUUCUCACUUUCCAAGCUACUCUGCAUGAAGGCAGUGCUGCAAGAUACCACUUCCUUGCUUGUUCUUUUUUUUCUCUCCUCUCUUUUUUUGGUUUCCCGCCUGUUUGAGGAAGUAGCACAAAGAGAGAGGCGUGCAAAGAUGAAAACUUAAAGUGACAACCUACUGACUGUAUGGACACAGAUAACACAGUUCUGGGGGCGUCCCAGCAUGUUUUACGCCCCUUGAUGACCUCGAUUCUCAACAUGACCUCAUAAUGACACCAGCUGCAUUGUCAGGCACUGCCAGAUGUCUUUGCUUUAGUUGUGGUACUGCAGGUUACACAAGCAACGGUGGAGGCGAGGGAGCUAGGCAAGCCGAGGUGGAGCCGCUGGGUCUACGGGCCGAGGUGGAGUCCGGGCCUCAGAGGCUGGAGGAGGAGGUGAGGGAGACUCCGACCAGGGUGACGCUAGAGGAUGGCAGUCCCGUGGGGCUCGCAGCCUCGCACCACAAUGAUGGGCAGUUAUUAUUUUAUGAUUUGCUACAGACAGGCCAUACACUUUUCUUUCCAUUUGGACCCAAAUUUGUAAAAAUGCUGUCUAACCACAUCAUGAUGAAGAGCCUAAGCAUAAUAAUAAAGAGAGAAGUGUGAAAGAGCCGUUCCACCUUCAGAUUUAGAUUCACAAAAGUGGUUUUUACAUAUACUAUGAGUGUAAUGUGUCCAUGUGCUUAAAAAUAUUAGGCAAAAAAUAAAUUUUAAAAACAUUAACCUUCCA
ensembl:lncRNA